GGGCCCGCACAAGCGGUGGAGUAUGUGGUUUAAUUCGAUGCAACGCGAAGAACCUUACCAGGGUUUGACAUCCUGCGAAUCUCUUGGAAACGAGAGAGUGCCUUCGGGAACGCAGUGACAGGUGGUGCAUGGCUGUCGUCAGCUCGUGUCGUGAGAUGUUGGGUUAAGUCCCGUAACGAGCGCAACCCUUGUCCUUAUUUGCCAUCAUUAAGUGGCACUCUAGAGAGACUGCCGGUGAUAAACCGGAGGAAGGUGUGGAUGACGUCAAGUCAUCAUGCCCCUUACCAUCCUGGGCUACACACGUACUACAAUGCUACGGACAAAGGGCUGCAAGUUCGCGAGGACAAGCAAAUCCCAUAAACCGUGGCUCAGUUCAGAUCGUAGGCUGCAACUCGCCUACGUGAAGGCGGAAUCGCUAGUAAUCGCAGGUC
rnacentral:rRNA from 1 species